rnacentral:tRNA from 1 species
CGGCCUAGCUCAAUUGGUAGAGCAACUGACUUGUAAUCAGUAGGUUGGGGGUUCAAGUCCUCUCUGGCCGG